rnacentral:rRNA from 1 species
AGAGUUUGAUCCUGGCUCAGAACGAACGCUGGCGGCAGGCUUCAUACAUGCAAGUCGAGCGGUUAGUGCCCCGCAAGGGGUGCUGAUAGCGGCGAACGGGUGAGUAACAGGUGGAUAAUCUGCCUCCUGGCGGGGGAUAACGACUGGAAACGGUCGCUAAUACCGCAUGUGGUUGCCAUUUUGCGAUUUGGCAAAGAAAGGCGCUUCACAGCGUCACCAGGAGAUGAGUCCGCCCCCCAUUAGCUAGUUGGCGGGAUAACAGCCCACCAAGGCUUCGAUGGGUAGCCGAGCUGAGAGGUUGAUCGGCCACACUGGAACUGAGACACGGUCCAGACACCUACGGGUGGCAGCAGUAGGGAAUAUUGGACAAUGGGCGCAAGCCUGAUCCAGCCAUGCCGCGUGAGUGAUGAAGGCCUUCGGGUUGUAAAGCUCUUUUCUGAGGGAAGAACAGCCGGGAUAGGAAAUGAUCCCGGCCUGACGGUACCUCAGGAAUAAGGGACGGCUAACUCCGUGCCAGCAGCCGCGGUAAUACGGAGGUCCCAAGCGUUGUUCGGAAUUACUGGGCGUAAAGGGAGCGCAGGCGGACAGGUCAGUCUGAAGUGGAAAUCCGAGGCUCAGCCUCGGACUUGCUUCGGAUACUUCCUGUCUUGAGUUCGUGAGGGGAAGAUGGAAUUCAGGGUGUAGCGGUGAAAUGCUCAGAUAUCCUGAGGAACACCGGUGGCGAAAGCGGUCUUCUGGCGCGAAACUGACGCUGAGGCUCGAAAGCGUGGGGAGCAAACGGGAUUAGAUACCCCGGUAGUCCACGCCGUAAACGUUGUGUGCUAGGU